rnacentral:rRNA from 1 species
UACGUCGGGUGCGAGCGUUAAUCGGAAUUACUGGGCGUAAAGCGUGCGCAGGCGGUUCGUUGUGUCGGCGGUGAAAGCCCCGGGCUCAACCUGGGAAUGGCAUUGGAAACUGGCGGACUCGAGUGUGGCAGAGGGGGGUGGAAUUCCGCGUGUAGCAGUGAAAUGCGUAGAGAUGCGGAGGAACACCGAUGGCGAAGGCAGCCCCCUGGGCUAACACUGACGCUCAGGCACGAAAGCGUGGGGAGCAAACAGG